AAAAAGGAUCCCAGCUUCAGAGUCGAUUUCCAGGAAGACCGUGGCCACGGCAACACAGUCCCGUUAAGGGACUGGUCCUCGAACUCUCUAACUGGGAUCUGAGGGUUGACGGAAAUACAACUGACAAGAACUGGUUGGCUGACAGAGGAGAAAUCUGUGCGAUGUUCAGAGAACAAUGUUGCGCACUGAAGGCCAACACAGCUAUGGAGUCAUGCCACCGAGGGGGUUUGAACCUUGAACAGCUUGUUCUGGUAUUGACACCUCCAUGUGAGAGACCUGGAUGAAUGCCUUUGGAAGAUGCACAGCCCUGUUAUUGCUGUUUUUUCCAGCAAUUUUUACCUUGUGUGGAUGUUGAAUUCCUUGUCUGCAUGCUCUCAUUGUGAAACUUAUUAACACUGUUAUUUCACCCACAAACGAACAGGUGGUGGAGAUGUAUCCUUGAAUGGUGAAGAAUGACCAUGACGACGAUGAUGAUUUUCUAUUCUUCAUGUGCGUGUAUUCAUUUUCAUAAAAAAAUAUUCAUUAGAAGAAGUUGUAAGAUGAUAUAAGAAUUUGUGCAAAUACAUAAUAAACAGAGGGGAAAUGUUAGUUAUCGUUAAUAUAUUUAUUAUGGACUUGCAACAAAGCCAAAGUAUUAUCCUUGCUUCGAAGAGUCUUGUUCACAGGAUGAGCUCCUACACACAGAUGCAACAGUAUCUUCCUACAAGUGGCCAAGGACAACUCCAUCAUAACCAAAGAAUGUGCCACAUCAUCUCCAAAAACUGUACCUUUGUUCAUUUCAUCUGCUCACCCAUCUUUUUGACCUCAUGUGUUUUCUAAUUUAAAAAAAAAAAAAAAAAAAAGUACGUGAGAGGCUGGUUCAGAAUGUGUUUGGAGACUGUAACUGGCCCAUCUCUCACGUCCUCCUGAUCAGAAGAAAGACAACUUCUUGUCUGUUAUUUGUGCAACUAUUCCGGCAAGUUAGGUGAUAAACCUAACAGUGUUAUAAAUACUUCUUGAUAAUUUGAGAUUGACAAGAAUAAUUCUUACCUGAAAUGAUCACUACACAGGUGUGUAUUUUGUUGAUCACCAUCACGUGCACGAUCUCUAUACACUUCUCAUUUUUUUCAAUAUGAAUACCAAAGUUUACAUAAAUGACCCCUGGUUUUAAACAAACUUGCAUUCAUUAACUAUGAAAAAAAUAGAACAAGGAGUCGUGUCCUCCGUACAUGGAAGUGAAUUGCAGCCACACUUUAACCUCCGUAAAUUCCUCUGUGACAGGGUUUUUUUUUUUUUAAAUACACAUUGCUCUUAAAUGAGUCAGCUUGGCAUUGUAAAUACUUCUUGUUUAUUUGAGAUUGAGAAGAAUAACUCCUACCUGAAAUGAAGUGAUUGCGACACAGGUGUGUGUAUUUCAUUGGGCACCGUCCAUCCCGUUUAAUUGCCGAAAUCCAUCAAUCUUUUCUCGUCUUUUCAGCUGGUAUCCCAUGAAUGAUCUCUUUGAAGAAUUGUCUCCUCUAUUGUGACAACCAACAGGACAACAGGUCUUGGGCAAUUUGAAAAAUCUACUCCAGUUCAACGACUCCAGCACUGCCGAGCAGCGAGAUGUCAGUGAUUAUCUUCAUCCAGAGUGGCAGCAGUCAAUGACUGGUCAUUUCAAAGAGGAAGAAGAAGGUGAAGAGGUUCAGUGUAUCAAAGAGGAGAAGGAAGAGGUCGUACACAUGAAAGAGGAAGAGCAGGAGGAACGCAUACAGGUUCCAGUCACUGGUGUCCAUUGGACGAGAGAAGAUGAAGGUCAAAGUGGGGAGAGACGAGGGGCUGAGCCUUCAGAAUCAGUUUUAUUGGCCAAGUGUGUAAAAACACACAAGGAAAUUUUCUCUGGCAGUCGGUGCUAUCCUGGUACGACAUUUAGUACAACCAGGAACAGCUCAAGUGAUGGAGACCACUGUGGAGGAUCACAAACAGACGACGAUGAUGAUGAUGAACAAUCGGAAGGGGAUAUGACAUGUCACACUACAAACAAAUGCUGUUUAGGGGAGUGAGUCUGCUAUCAAAAUGGCAAGUAAACGGUUAUUUAUGGUUUAACGGAUAAAUGCAGAUGGUUGCGUCAGGAAGGGCAUCUGGCGUAAAACUGUACAAAACAUAUACGAGCGUUCAUCAUAUGAAUUCCUUAAUGGUUAGGUCGUGGCCCGGGCAUCCUACACCCGCCCCCUUAAAUGUUAAUGUGCAAGCCGUAGAUCGUGAUACUGUAGGUCAAAGACAAAGAGAAAAGCGGCUUAGUCGGCAGAAGAAGAGGAGAAAGGUACAGACCAUAUAUCUGAGUGUAGGCACUUUGACUGUGAGCACUAUGGCAAGAAAAUCUCAGGAGUUAGUUGACAUGAUGAUUAGGAGAAAGGUUGACAUAUUGUGCAUCCAAGAGAGCAAGUGGAAAGGGAGCAAGACAAGAGGUUUAGGUGCAGGGUUCAACUUAUUUUAUCAUGGAGUAGAUGGGAAGAAAAAUUGAGUUGGGGUUAUUUUAAAGGAAGAGACAGGAACAUAGAGCGACCUACAAGAGCGGAGGUAGAGUCACGCAGGUGGAUUAUAUUUUGUGCUGACAAUGUAACCUGAAGAAGGUUACCGACUGUAAAGUGGUGGUCGGGGAGAGUGUAGCUCGACAGCAUAGGAUGGUAGUGUGUAGGAUGACUCUGGUGGCGGGUAGGAAGAUUAAGAAGACAAAGGUAGAGCAGAGAGUCAGGUGGUGGAAGUUGAGAAAGGAAGAAUGUUUUGUGGCCUUUCGAAAAGAGGUGAGACAGGCUCUAGAUCAGUGAUUUCCAAACUCAAUAGAGCCAAGGCACAUAUUUUACAAUUGAAAAACCCCACGGCACACCAACAAAAGUAAAUGUCACCAAAAAUGGAUCGAUUAAUUACUGUAUGUACUUCCUGCCAUCUAAUAGAAGAGGAUUUUUUUCUUCUGUCUGUCAUUGUGCCUCACUGGCAUAAAUAGAUGAAUAAAGAUACAUUAUUUCUUGGAAAUGUUUUUUUUUAGCAAUUACAUAAAACUGGAUAACUUCCCAUGGCACACCUGAAGAGCGCUCACGGCACACUCAUGUACCCCGAACCACUGUUGGGGGAAUCACUGCACUAGAUGGUCAGGAAGAGCUCCCAGAAGACUGGAAUAUAACUGCCAAGGUAUUCAGACAGGCAGGUAGGAGAGUACUUGGAGUGUCCUCUGGUAGGAAGGGUGUCUUCUGGUAAGAAAGGGGAGAAGGAGACUUGG